CCUACGGGAGACAGCAGUAGGGAAUAUUGCUCAAUGGGGGAAACCCUGAAGCAGCAACGCCGCGUGGAGGAUGAAGGUUUUCGGAUUGUAAACUCCUUUUGUUAGAGAAGAUAAUGACGGUAUCUAACGAAUAAGCACCGGCUAACUCCGUGCCAGCAGCCGCGGUAAUACGGUGGGUGCAAGCGUUACUCGGAAUCACUGGGCGGAAAGAGCGCGUAGGCGGGAUAGCAAGUCAGAUGUGAAAUCCUAUGGCUUAACCAUAGAACUGCAUUUGAAACUGUUAUUCUAGAGUAUGGGAGAGGUAGGUGGAAUUCUUGGUGUAGGGGUAAAAUCCGUAGAGAUCAAGAGGAAUACUCAUUGCGAAGGCGACCUGCUAGAACAUAACUGACGCUGAUGCGCGAAAGCGUGGGGAGCAAACAGGAUUAGAUACCAGUAGUC
rnacentral:rRNA from 1 species